CCCGAGCUGUCCAAAAAUAAAACGCAGUCCCUAUCAAGAAAGAGAUGCAGUCAGUCAGGCAACAUGAGGGGGCAUGGCUGCCAGCGACAACUGUUGCAGACACAUGGCCAUCACCGGGGGUUAACAGAUGCUGGGAAGAGAGGCCCGGGUUCCAUCGCACUGGGAGGCCGCCUGGACCAGACAAAAUCGAGAGAUGUAGGGCAUCGCUGUUGCUGGGGAUCGUGUGUCCGGCCACGUGGAGGAAGUUGGCCUGAGAAAAGCCAAACCAUAUUCGGUGCGAAGAGAAAAGAGAAAGUCUUGUUCGCCUUCAAACUUCUGGAUCCAGUGGUUUUAGAGGCUCUGCUGCUUCUUUUCCAUGGUUGCUUGAGACUUGUCAAUAAACACUUUUCUUUUUUUUUUUUCGUUUAAACUAUUUCCAGUUGAGUUUAUGCUCCUUAAAGAGCCAAACUAAUGUGUCUGCCUGCAGCAUAUUACACUGCAAUAUCACGUCUACUGCCAUGAGUUUGUUAUAACCCUCCCAUGUAAGAAGGAAUAAGACUCAGUCAUGUUAGAUAAAUUAUCCCAAAUCUCACAUUGUGUCAUUGGUAUAAUUAUGUCACGCUCCAGGACAUGCUAUUAGGACCCUGAUUUCUUUUUAUUUCUAUGACAAGCCCUUGAAAGGGUAGACCUGGACAAGCAUUGUUAGUCCUAAUUUUAUUUUAUUUUUAUUAUUUUAUUUUGUCAGGGUUUUUUUUUUUUUUUUUUUUUUUUUGUCUCUUUAGGGCCACACCCACAGCAUGUGGAAGUUCCCAGGCUAGGGGUUGAAUCGGAGCUGGAGCUGCAACUGCCGGCCUACACCACAGCCAAAGCAAUGUGGGAUCCAAGCCACAUCUGUGACCUACACCACAGCUCAUGCACAGCAAUGCCAGAUCCUUAACCCAAUGAGCGAGGCCAGGGAUCAAACCAGCAAUCCUCAUGGAUACCAGUCAAGCUCUUAACCCACUGAGCCACAACAGGAACUCCAUUAAGCCUAAUUGUAGAUGAGAAAACUGAGAUUCAGAGACAGUGGGUAACUUCCUUCCUAUCAAACAGUCAGCCAGUGCUGGGACCGGCCUUGGACCCAUGACUUCCCACAUAACAUCCAGUGCUCCCUGCAACCACACCUCAUUGUAUAGCCGCGAGCACAUGCUCUCUCGCACGCACGCACGCACGCACACGCGUGCACACAAACAUGCACACAUAUGCACUCGCACGCACACACAUACGCGUGCACACGCACACGCACACACACUCAUAGACAUGCAUGAGCACCAAGGUCAACGUCAGUCAAAAUGACUGUUCUUAGGAAUAUCUUUAAGUGUUUUAAGUUACUGCUGCCCAUAAUUAUUUAUUUUCUGCCAAAACACUGGUUUAGGAACCACCUAACUCUUCUGCAGAUCUAACUGUGAUAAAAUAUUUCCCAUUAUCUUGAGACUUAAUAACACAUAAAUAGCUUGUACUUUGUCUCUCUUGGUUUUGAUACCUAAUGAAAUGUGAAAAAGCAAGAUGACACAUAAAAGAAAAGCAAAAGAUAACUAAUUCAGAGAUUAACUUUGGAAAAGCUCCAAAAUUAGAUCGUGUAAUUAGUUCACACUUUAGAAGCCUUUGGUGGAAUUAGAUUUAUGCAAACAAAUUCCAUUCACAUAGUUUAGGAAGACUGAAUGAUUUUGUAGGUGAAUUAUGCUUAAAGUGAAGGAUUACGUAAGUCUUAUUCCCAACUUUUCUCUCUGUAAGAACUAGUUGCUUUUUGCUUGUUUGUUUGCUUGUUUGCUUUUUUCUUUCUACGCCCAAACCUGUGGCAUAUGGGAGUUCCCAGGCUAAGGGUCAAGUCAAAGCUGCAGCCGCCAGCCUACACUACAGCCACAGCAAUACAGGAUCCAAGCUUCGCAGCCUGUGGCAACGCCCAAUCCUUAACUUACUGAGCUAAACGGCAGCAACUCUUAAAAAAAAAAAAAAAAAAAAAAAAAUAGACCUAAACAUUCCUUGAAGGCAAGAGGCCAAGGUUGGUAGGUUCCAAACUUGAUCUGCUCUGGUUUUCACAUCUCUUAUGCAACACUGUACAGAGGUUAAAGGAGUAAAUGGCUAGACAGUGCCCCUGGGUUUUUUUUAAUUGUAUUUUUUGUUGUUGCAGGAAAUCCAUCAUACCAAAAGUCACUGAUGGGAUUGCAGUCAUUACAGUGCUCAAGGAAGGAAAUACUGAAGCUCAGGGCUCUGUCAGCCACUGGGAAAGACAAACUCUGCAGGGCUUUCCCACUUGAAGCGUUUAUUACUCAGUAUUAGCUGCGUUUAACCAUAUGCUUAAAUACCAACUACAGUACUUAAGACAUAACUUAAGACAUUUCUCAGUGGACAUUCUUCCCUAUAUUAUGAAAAUCAGAUCUAAGAUUCACCUCAGUAGAUAACAAUGAACCAAUAUAAACAAACCAUCCAGUCGAGUUCAGUCAACUCAUGAGAUGUUAAAAAGAACAACAAAAAAUUUUUUUUUACCAAAUGGACUGGUUGUUUGUCUAUAUGGACAAAACGAAAUGAUUAUUUCAUUGUGCAAAUAUUUCUUGGACAGUUUCCCCCCUGUUUACGAACCAGCUAUUUUCAGACUAGUCAGUACGUGUAUACGCUGUCAGAGACUAGAGGAAGACAGGUCAGGGAAGUUUUGAAUGUGGCAUUUAGCCAAAAAGUUUUAAAUUCGGUUUGGAUUUGGGCUCAGCUGUGAAACACGUGCCUGGGUGUAGGGAAUAAGAGUUUCAGUCUGGAAAAAUAUCGGGAUGUGUAACAGCUGCCACUCCCAGCGCUUCCAUGAAAACAGCCUGGGCUGGUCUGCCAGUUCCCAUCGUGUUUGAGAACCGUGUGUAAACAUUCCAAAACAGGCAGUGUUUUUAAACCUUGUAAUGAGUUGGGUGCAGUUUUCAAGGAUCAAAUAUUUGAGAAACAAAAAUCAUACCAUGAGAUUAAAAAAAAAAACCCUUGUGAAAAAUGAGAUGGAAUGCAAAACUGUCGUUUUUGAUAUUUCAGCUCUGAGUUAAGACUUCAUAGAGAUAUUUUCAUUUACUCCUUGCUGGCUUAAUACAAAUUCAGAUCAGUUCUGGUUUGAGAAAAGAUGAUGUCCGGCGUUACUUUUCUAUUUGCAUGAAACUCCAUGGCAAUGAAGUUGAACUAGAGAAAAACAGAGGUGGGGUGAAAGAGGAGAUCUCCAAACUUUUGAGAGUGAAAAUGCUGAGAUGUCUAUAUUUUCUGUGUAUUUAGUUGCAUUUUUAAAAAAGCAAAUGGAUGUUAUAAACUGUCAUAUAUAUUUAUAUAUAGGAGUUAAUUAAAAUUUUCAAAUUUUGUGUGCAUUUCCCCAGACAAUGACCGUUUCUCUGACAUUUUGCAUGGUUUGCUCUGAUGUCAGGAGAGGCACUAUCUCAAGAGUAUUUGCACGCACCUUUUUCAUCCGUCUUUGGAUCUGAACAUUUCUGUGAUCCUGGGGUAGCUCCCAUGAAGUUCCAGGAAGGGAUCCUCGAUCAGUCGAAAACAAAGGAGCUCCCUGACUAUGGACAAACAAUUUUUCUUAACAGAUUUUAUGGCUGAUUUCUUAUUACAUAAUGAACUUUAUCAUAGAAAAUAUAGCU
rnacentral:lncRNA from 9 species